UACGGGGGGGGUAAGCGUUGUUCGGAAUUACUGGGCGUAAAGGGCUCGUAGGUGGCCAACUAAGUCAGACGUGAAAUCCCUCGGCUUAACCGGGGAACUGCGUCUGAUACUGGAUGGCUUGAGUUUGGGAGAGGGACGCGGAAUUCCAGGUGUAGCGGUGAAAUGCGUAGAUAUCUGGAGGAACACCGGUGGCGAAGGCGGCAUCCUGGACCGGUAUUGACGCUGAUGCGCGAAAGCCAGGGGAGCAAACGGG
rnacentral:rRNA from 1 species